AGUGAACGCUGGCGGUAGGCCUAACACAUGCAAGUCGAACGGCAGCACAGUAAGAGCUUGCUCUUACGGGUGGCGAGUGGCGGACGGGUGAGGAAUACAUCGGAAUCUACUUUUUCGUGGGGGAUAACGUAGGGAAACUUACGCUAAUACCGCAUACGACCUACGGGUGAAAGCAGGGGAUCUUCGGACCUUGCGCGAAUGAAUGAGCCGAUGUCGGAUUAGCUAGUUGGCGGGGUAAAGGCCCACGAAGGCGACGAUCCGUAGCUGGUCUGAGAGGAUGAUCAGCCACACUGGAACUGAGACACGGUCCAGACUCCUACGGGAGGCAGCAGUGUGGAAUAUUGGACAAUGGGCGCAAGCCUGAUCCAGCCAUACCGCGUGGGUGAAGAAGGCCUUCGGGUUGUAAAGCCCUUUUGUUGGGAAAGAAAAGCAGCAGGUUAAUACCCCGCUGUUCUGACGGUACCCAAAGAAUAAGCACCGGCUAACUUCGUG
rnacentral:rRNA from 1 species